UCAAGUGAAUAAGUGCAUCAGGUGGAUGCCUUGGCGAUGAUAGGCGAUGAAGGACGUGUAAGCCUGCGAAAAGCGUGGGGGAGCUGGCAAUAAAGCUAUGAUCCCGCGAUGUCCGAAUGGGGAAACCCACUGCAUUCUGUGCAGUAUCCUAAGUUGAAUACAUAGACUUAGAGAAGCGAACCCGGAGAACUGAACCAUCUAAGUACCCGGAGGAAAAGAAAUCAACCGAGAUUCCGCAAGUAGUGGCGAGCGAACGCGGAGGAGCCUGUACGUGAUAACUGUCGAGAUAGAAGAACAAGCUGGGAAGCUUGACCAUAGUGGGUGAUAGUCCCGUAUUCGAAAUCUCAACGGUGGUACUAAGCGUACGAAAAGUAGGGCGGGACACGUGAAAUCCUGUCUGAAUAUGGGGGGACCAUCCUCCAAGGCUAAAUACUCAUCAUCGACCGAUAGUGAACCAGUACCGUGAGGGAAAGGCGAAAAGAACCCCGGGAGGGGAGUGAAAUAGAACCUGAAACCUGAUGCAUACAAACAGUGGGAGCACCCUUGUGGUGUGACUGCGUACCUUUUGUAUAAUGGGUCAACGACUUACAUUCAGUAGCGAGCUUAACCGAAUAGGGGAGGCGUAGGGAAACCGAGUCUUAAUAGGGCGAAGAGUUGCUGGGUGUAGACCCGAAACCGAGUGAUCUAUCCAUGGCCAGGUUGAAGGUGCCGUAACAGGUACUGGAGGACCGAACCCACGCAUGUUGCAAAAUGCGGGGAUGAGCUGUGGAUAGGGGUGAAAGGCUAAACAAACUCGGAGAUAGCUGGUUCUCCCCGAAAACUAUUUAGGUAGUGCCUCGAGCAAGACACUGAUGGGGGUAAAGCACUGUUAUGGCUAGGGGGUUAUUGCAACUUACCAACCCAUGGCAAACUAAGAAUACCAUCAAGUGGUUCCUCGGGAGACAGACAGCGGGUGCUAACGUCCGUUGUCAAGAGGGAAACAACCCAGACCGCCAGCUAAGGUCCCAAAUGAUAGAUUAAGUGGUAAACGAAGUGGGAAGGCCCAGACAGCCAGGAUGUUGGCUUAGAAGCAGCCAUCAUUUAAAGAAAGCGUAAUAGCUCACUGGUCGAGUCGUCCUGCGCGGAAGAUGUAACGGGGCUCAAAUCUAUAACCGAAGCUGCGGAUGCCAGUUUACUGGCAUGGUAGGGGAGCGUUCUGUAGGCCGAUGAAGGUGCAUUGUAAAGUGUGCUGGAGGUAUCAGAAGUGCGAAUGUUGACAUGAGUAGCGAUAAAGCGGGUGAAAAGCCCGCUCGCCGAAAGCCCAAGGUUUCCUACGCAACGUUCAUCGGCGUAGGGUGAGUCGGCCCCUAAGGCGAGGCAGAAAUGCGUAGUCGAUGGGAAACAGGUUAAUAUUCCUGUACUUGAUUCAAAUGCGAUGUGGGGACGGAGAAGGUUAGGUUAGCAAGCUGUUGGAAUAGCUUGUUUAAGCCGGUAGGUGGAAGACUUAGGCAAAUCCGGGUCUUCUUAACACCGAGAAGUGACGACGAGUGUCUACGGACAUGAAGUAACCGAUACCACGCUUCCAGGAAAAGCCACUAAGCUUCAGUUUGAAUCGAACCGUACCGCAAACCGACACAGGUGGGCAGGAUGAGAAUUCUAAGGCGCUUGAGAGAACUCGGGAGAAGGAACUCGGCAAAUUGAUACCGUAACUUCGGGAGAAGGUAUGCCCUCUAAGGUUAAGGACUUGCUCCGUAAGCCUCGGAGGGUCGCAGAGAAUAGGUGGCUGCGACUGUUUAUUAAAAACACAGCACUCUGCUAACACGAAAGUGGACGUAUAGGGUGUGACGCCUGCCCGGUGCUGGAAGGUUAAUUGAAGAUGUGAGAGCAUCGGAUCGAAGCCCCAGUAAACGGCGGCCGUAACUAUAACGGUCCUAAGGUAGCGAAAUUCCUUGUCGGGUAAGUUCCGACCCGCACGAA
rnacentral:rRNA from 1 species